rnacentral:rRNA from 1 species
AUUGAACGCUGGCGGCAGGCCUAACACAUGCAAGUCGAACGGUAACAGGAAGAAGCUUGCUUCUUUGCUGACGAGUGGCGGACGGGUGAGUAAUGUCUGGGAAACUGCCUGAUGGAGGGGGAUAACUGCUGGAAACGGUAGCUAAUACCGCAUAACGUCGCAAGACCAAAGAGGGGGACCUUCGGGCCUCUUGCCAUCGGAUGUGCCCAGAUGGGAUUAGCUAGUAGGUGGGGUAACGGCUCACCUAGGCGACGAUCCCUAGCUGGUCUGAGAGGAUGACCAGCCACACUGGAACUGAGACACGGUCCAGACUCCUACGGGAGGCAGCAGUGGGGAAUAUUGCACAAAGGGCGCAAGCCUGAUGCAGCCAUGCCGCGUGUAUGAAGAAGGCCUUCGGGUUGUAAAGUACUUUCAGCGGGGAGGAAGGGAGUAAAGUUAAUACCUUUGCUCAUUGACGUUACCCGCAGAAGAAGCACCGGCUAACUCCGUG